rnacentral:rRNA from 1 species
UACGUAGGGGGCGAGCGUUGUCCGGAUUUAUUGGGCGUAAGGAGCGUGUAGGCGGCCAGGUAGGUCCGUUGUGAAAACUCGAGGCUCAACCUCGAGACGUCGAUGGAAACCAUCUGGCUAGAGUCCGGAAGAGGAGAAUGGAAUUCCCGGUGUAGCGGUGAAAUGCGCAGAUAUCGGGAAGAACACCCGUGGCGAAGGCGGUUCUCUGGGACGGUACUGACGCUGAGACGCGAAAGCUAGGGUAGCAAACGGG